rnacentral:rRNA from 1 species
UACAGGGGGUGCAAACGUUGCUCGGAAUUAUUGGGCGUAAAGAGCUCGUAGGCGGCUUGUCACGUCGGGUGUGAAAGCCCGGGGCUUAACCCCGGGUCUGCAUUCGAUACGGGCUAGCUAGAGUGUGGUAGGGGAGAUCGGAAUUCCUGGUGUAGCGGUGAAAUGCGCAGAUAUCGGGAAGAACACCCGUGGCGAAGGCGGCUCUCUGGGACGGUACUGACGCUGAGACGCGAAAGCGUGGGGAGCGAACAGG